rnacentral:lncRNA from 1 species
GCCUUUUCAAGUGUCUGCUUACUGAUACCUCUGCCACAGGCUUCAGGGUUUGUUUUUGCAAGUUUUUUGCACAUUACGUUUAGCAAGCCUGUUUGUGUGUGACCACUAGAGUCAGACUCCUUUGGCUCUCUCCUGGUACCUGAUGGAAGCAAAUGGGGCUUGUCAAACUCCAGAGGUCCUGACAAGUGCUGUAAAGUCAUGUACUUGUCCAGAAGACUGGGAAUGAUGAUGAGUUUGAAAAGGAAUCCAGAGAUAGCCUGUGAAUUCCCCUGUCCAUGGCUGAAAAAGACUAUCUCCGCAUUUGGGAACAGCCAAGAAGAAGCACAGUUCCUGGUCAGACACUGGUUUCCCAUCCUGAGACAUACAGACAGUUGGUCAGGUCUCCUGCCACCACCAGAGUGGAAGAAGGGACUGUCCUGCCUUGCUUUAAUCCCAGUGUUUCCCAAAGAAGUAAUGACAGGCUCUGGUUGUCGACCCUCUCUAUCCUCAUCAGAUCCUGAACCAAGCGCUUCUGAAACUCUAGUUCCCGUAAAUAAAUUAUUACUAUGAAAUUGCAAAUUCUAAUUACUAAAAAAGAGAAGAACCCUAAACUUCUCUGAGUUAUUGAAGAGCUUGGCCAAAUAAGCCAGAAAAGCUUUAAAAUGAGAUGAUAAAUAAAGCAAUAAAACUUACUCGGAAGAAAACCCUU